rnacentral:rRNA from 1 species
UACGGGGGGGGCAAGCGUUGUUCGGAAUUACUGGGCGUAAAGGGCUCGUAGGCGGCCAACUAAGUCAUACGUGAAAUCCCUCGGCUUAACCGGGGAACUGCGUCUGAUACUGGAUGGCUUGAGUUCGGGAGAGGGAUGCGGAAUUCCAGGUGUAGCGGUGAAAUGCGUAGAUAUCUGGAGGAACACCGGUGGCGAAGGCGGCAUCCUGGACCGACACUGACACUGAGGGACGAAAGCUAGGGGAGCGAAUGGG